AGGGGGGUAGAAUUCCAGGUGUAGCGGUGAAAUGCGUAGAGAUCUGGAGGAAUACCGGUGGCGAAGGCGGCCCCCUGGACGAAGACUGACGCUCAGGUGCGAAAGCGUGGGGAGCAAACAGGAUUAGAUACCCUGGUAGUCCACGCCGUAAACGAUGUCGACUUGGAGGUUGUGCCCUUGAGGCGUGGCUUCCGGAGCUAACGCGUUAAGUCGACCGCCUGGGGAGUACGGCCGCAAGGUUAAAACUCAAAUGAAUUGACGGGGGCCCGCACAAGCGGUGGAGCAUGUGGUUUAAUUCGAUGCAACGCGAAGAACCUUACCUGGUCUUGACAUCCACGGAAGUUUUCAGAGAUGAGAAUGUGCCUUCGGGAACCGUGAGACAGGUGCUGCAUGGCUGUCGUCAGCUCGUGUUGUGAAAUGUUGGGUUAAGUCCCGCAACGAGCGCAACCCUUAUCCUUUGUUGCCAGCGGUCCGGCCGGGAACUCAAAGGAGACUGCCAGUGAUAAACUGGAGGAAGGUGGGGAUGACGUCAAGUCAUCAUGGCCCUUACGACCAGGGCUACACACGUGCUACAAUGGCGCAUACAAAGAGAAGCGACCUCGCGAGAGCAAGCGGACCUCAUAAAGUGCGUCGUAGUCCGGAUUGGAGUCUGCAACUCGACUCCAUGAAGUCGGAAUCGCUAGUAAUCGUGGAUCAGAAUGCCACGGUGAAUACGUUCCCGGGCCUUGUACACACCGCCCGUCACACCAUGGGAGUGGGUUGCAAAAGAAGUAGGUAGCUUAACCUUCGGGAGGGCGCUUACCACUUUGUGAUUCAUGACUGGGGUGAAGUCGUAACAAGGUAACCGUAGGGGAACCUGCGGUUGGAUCACCUCCUUACCUUAAAGAAGC
rnacentral:rRNA from 1 species